AGAGAAGGGAUGAUUGGGUUUGGAUCUGUGACAAUAUCUUUGACAAUGAGGAUUGGAAGACUCGUUCAAGAACUAAUGCACUUAAUCGUGCAAAUCUGGAGUAUGUGCACAAGCUGGGAUCUAAGUCUUUUCCACAAAAACGUCAUGAAAUGACCAAUCCAGAGA